GCUUGUAGAGUUUCUGCUGAAAAAUCAGCUCUUAUCCUUAUUGGAGUUGCCUUGUAUAUGAUUUAUUGCUUUUGCCUUUUGUCUUUUAAUGUAUUUUCUUUGUAUUUAAUUUUUGUCAGUUUGAUAAGUAUGUAUCUCACUGUGUUUUUCCUUGGGUUUAUUUUGUAUCAAAUACUCUCUACUUCCUCAACUUGAGUGAGUGUUUCCUUUCCCAUAUUAGGGAAGUUUUCAACUGUAAUCUCUAAAUAUUUUCUCUGGCUCUUCUGUCUCUUUUCUCCUUGUGGAACCCCUAUGAGGCAAAUGCUGGUACAUUUAAUGUUUGUCCCAGUGGUCUCUUAGACUAUCCUCAGUUCUUUUCAGUCUUUUUUCUUUAUUUUUUUCUGUGAUUUCCACCACUCUCUCUUCCACCUCACUUAUUUGUUCUUCUGCUUUUUUAACUUGUAAUUGGUUCCUUAUAGAGUAUUUUUCAUUUCAGAUACUGUGAUGUUCAUCUUGCUCUUUAAAACUUCUAGCUCUUUGUUAAGCAUUUAUUUUCAAUUCUCCAUCUGUGUCUCCAUUCUUUUUCCAUGAUCUUUGUUCACCUUUAUUAUCAUUACUCUGUGUUCUUUUUUAGGUAGAUUCCCUAUGUCCUCAUCAUUUAGUAGGUUUUUUUUUUUGUGUGUGUGUGUGUGUGUGUGUGUUUUUGUCUUGUUCCUUUUCUGAAAACUACUUCUUUGUCAUCUCAUAAUGUCUACCUUUCUUUUUAACAUCCCCUUGACUGUAGGUAUGUAGAUAUAGCAGCAAGUGCCCAGUCCUGGAGUUCUCAGUGGUGGUAGCAGUUCAUGUGUACCCAGAAAAUGUAUUUGGAGCAAUGGUAUCACACUCCCUCUCCUGGAGCUUUCUGGCUGCUAUAGAUGGCAUCUGUGAAGUAGGUGGCAAUGAUUCACAGUUCACAGGAUUUCUUUUGUACCACAAGAGGGCUGCAGUAUAUCAUCCAACCCCUCCUGCUACCACGUAGCUGGGUGGAGCAGUGGAAUUUGUGCUUUUCCUAGUUGGACAGUUUGCACCUCCUGUGGGGAAACAGGCCGUGGUGCCUCUUCUGGUGUGUGAUCAGCCUCACUAGCAUGAGCCCUUGCAGAGCCACUUGGUGAAGCCCCAGAGCUUGUACUUUUCCUGGGUUAGGCAGUUUACAGCUCCUAUGGGGAAUGGACACUGGCAGCCAACUCUCUACUCCUUUGGAACUGGCACCACUAGCCAUCCACAGAGUUGAGAUUGCUGAAAACUAAACCUGGAAUAUCACCAUAUGAGUGACUGAACUACAAUGCAAUUUGAAUUUCCAAACCUGCAUGGCGUCUACUAUUAAAGUGAGAGCAUUUAUUUGGAAGAAAUGGAAUCCUAGAAGAUGUGGAAGCAGCCUCCUAUCUGAGAUUCAUCCUGCGUUGACUGAUGAGAUUGUAAUGACCUCCCCUGAAGGAACUGCCUUGUAAAACAUUACUGAUGGACCUACACGCCCCCCACACUGCUCUUUGUUUCUAGACCUAUAACUAGACUGGAGUUCCAGAAGGCCCCUACAGGUGAGGUAUGAAGUACAAUCCAUGAGGAAGUGUGCCACAAUCUAAAACAGCUACUUGAUUUUUCCAUUUUAUAGACACAGAAAUCUGGGAAAUAUAUGUAGGAAUGGAUAUAGAGGAUGGGAUAAUGGUGGAAGAACCAUAAAGUUGGAUCAUGCCAAAAUAUAUUGAUAUGGGCCCACUAAUCAGGUAUUCUGAGUUUGUGUUGCAGUUUAAGGAGUUAGAAUGGGCUGUAAAAGUUUGGUUGGUUGACUGAAACACUGUGGGCCAUGAGAAGUGACCCACAGUGAAUGAACUUGAAACAUUAGACCUGCUUUGGUGUACUGCAGAGAGGGUAAUCAAGGCUUAGGGUGCUUGGAAUGUUAAAGUGGAAUUGUCAUCUAAGAGCUAUCAGUGACCCUGCAAGUGUCCAGAGAACAGAUCUUUCAUGAUUUUGAGAAGCAAUUUUGUAAGAAGGGUCUAAGCAUCCUUGAAGAGCCCUGUUUCCACUCCUUUCUGUAGAUUGGAACUUGGAACUACUGCCAGUGAAUUGAAAAAAAGCUAAAUAUAAUGAGAAUAACUGGAUUAAGAGAUGGCAGGGUCCAUGUGGCAGUACUCAGUCACUAAAGGCAAGGUGGAUGUCACUACCAUAAUGAAUAACAGUCAAAGAAGAAAUCAGAAUAGCCUGACUUUCAGAGACCUGUGGUAUUAGCUAGUUGAUCAUGAUAUUCCAAGGAGUGAAAUAGAUAGAUUUGACUUCAUCUGUCUAAGUAGAUUUCUAAGUCAAGUAAACAAUAAUUUGACUUGAGUCAUAGAGUCACAACAUUUCAAUCAAUCCCCAGACUUGAUUCAGUUUAUAUGUUCAGAAUCCCUUGAAGGUAGGUCCCUGAUAACAUUGCUAAAAACUCAUACUGUUAAUAUUUCUCCCAGCUUUUCCCCAAAGGGCAUACAGCCUUUUACCAGAGUGACUGUAUAUUCAGAAAAAGGUAAUGAUCAGACCUUUUGGGGAUUACAAGAUACUACCUAUGAACUCAUACUGACUCUAGGAUAUCAAAAACAUCAUUGUGGUCCACCAAUCAGAGUAGGGAUUUAUGGAGGUCCAGGGAUGAAUGGAGCUUUAGCUCAGAUCCAGCUCACAAUGGGCUCAAUGGGUCUCUGUCCCUAUUCUGUGGUUAUUUUCCUAGUUCUUAAACACAUAAUUGGGAUAGACAUCCUCAGCAGCUGGCAGAAUCCUCACAUUGUUUAUCCCAACUCUGAAGCAAGAGCUAUUAUGGUGGAAUGAAGUAGAACUGUCCCUACCUAGAAAAAUAAUAAACCAAAAGCAAUAAUACACACCUGGAUGGAUUGCAGAGUGGUGCCACCAUCAAAGAUUUGAAAAUUGUGGGGAUGGUGAUUUCUCAAUAUCUCCAUUCAACUUGCCUAUUUAUUCUGUGCAGAAGAUAGAUGUAUCUUGGAGAAUGACAGUGGAUUAUUGUAAGCUUAACUGGUUGGCCACUAUGCUGUACCAGAUGUGGUUUUAUUGCUUAAGCAAAUUAACACGUCCCUUGGUACCUGGUAUACAGCUAUUGAUUUGGCAAAUAAUUUUUUCUCCAUCUCCAUUAGUAAAGGCCACCAGAAGGAGUUUGCUUUCAGCAGGCAAGGUAAGCUAUAUAUUUUGACUGUUCUACCUCAGAGUUAUAUAGACUCUCCAUCUCUAUGUCAUUAUUUAGUUUGAAAGCCUUUCUUUCACAAGAUAUCACACUUCUCUAUUACAUUGAUGACAUUGUUAUUAUUGGAACAAAUGAGCAUAAGCAGCAACUAAUCUAGGCUUAUUAGUAAUACAUUUGUGUGUCAGGGAAUGAGAAGUAAAUCAAACAAUUUAGGGGCCUUGCACCUCAGUGAAAUUUCUAGAAGUCCCAUGGUGUAGAGCAGGUAGAGAUAUCUCUUCUAUGUGAAGGAUAAGUUGUAUCUGGACUAUUACAUUACCAUGAAAGAGGCACAACCUCUAGUGAACCUUUUUAUAUUUUAGAGGCAAUAUAUUCCUUAAUUGGGUGUGUUACUCUGGUCCAUUUACCAAGUGACCCAAAGCUACUAGUUUUGAAUGGAUCCCAGAACAAAAGAAGGUUCUUCAACAGAUACAGCUUGCUGUGUAAUCUGCUCUCUUCCUAGGUCAUGUGAUCCCACAGAUCCAAUGGUACUGGUGUCACUGGCAGAUAGAGAUACAUUUUGGAUUCAGGCUGCUAUAUGUGAAUCAGAACAUAAACCUUUAAGAUUUUGGAGCAAAGCCUUGCCAUCCUCUGUGGAUAACUAUUGUCCUUUUCAGAAGCAGCUUUUGGCUUUCUAUUGGGCCUUAGUAGACUGAAUGCUUAACCGUGGAAAACCAUGUUGCCAUGCAAGCUGAGCUGCCCAUCAUGUAUUAGAUGUUUUCUGACCCGCUACACUGUAAAUUUGGGUGUGUAGAGCAGCACUCUAUCAUGACAUGGAAGUGGUAUAUAUAUAUUAGUCCUGGGAAGGCCCUGAAGGCAUAAGAAAGUUACAUGAAGAAGUGACCCGAAUGCCCAUUGCCUUCUCUCUCCUAGCCUGCACUUAUGGCCUCAUGGGUAGUACUCAAUCAUCACUUGAUAGAGAAAUAGAAGACUUCAGCCUGGUUUACAGAUGGUUCUGCACAAAAUUCAGGUACCAGGAAGAACUAAACAGCUACAGCAUUAUAUCUCUGAGACAUGCCUAAAGGGCAUUGUGAAGAUAAAUCCUUCUAUUAGGCAGUCAUUUGGGCAGUGCACCUGGUUGUUCCAUUCGCUUAGAAGGAAAAGUUGCCAGUUAUGUGAUUAUAUACUGAUUAUGGGCUGUGGCCAAAGAUUUGGCUGUAUGGUUAGGGACUUGGAAGGAACAUGAUUGGAAAAUUGGUGACAGGGAAGUCUGGGGAAGAGGUAUUUAGAUAGACAUCCCUGAAUUGGUGAAAAAUAUGGAUAUUUAUGCCCCAAGUGAAUGUUCACCAUAGAGUGAUCUCAGCAGAGAAGGAUUUUAGUAAUCAAUGACAUUGCCAGUUAUGUGGAUAUCAGUCAACCUCUUUCCCCAGGCACUCCUGUCAUUGCCCAAUGGGCUCAGCAACAUGGACUUCCCUUCACUGAGGUUGACGUGAUUGGAGUGAUUGCUGAGUGCACAAUCUGUCAGCAGCAGGGACUAACAGAGUCCUUAAUAAAGCAUCAUUACUUAGGGUGAUUAGCCAGUUAUUUUGUAGAUUGAGCCACUUCCAUCAUAGAAGGGGCAACGUUUUGUUCUUAAUGGAAUAGGCACUUACUCUAGAAAGAGAUUUGUCUUCCCUAAUGCAAUGCUUUUCCACAACUACCAUCCAAAGGCUUGUAGAAUGCUUUAUCUACCACUAUGGUAUUCUACAUUUGAAUUACAUCUUCUCAAAGAACACACUUCACAGCAAAAGAAGUGCAGCAAUGGGCCCAUGGACAUGACAUUUACUGGUCUUACCAUAGUCCCCAUUCUCUUGAAUCAGCCUAUUUGAUAAAAUAGUGGAAUGAAUUUUUAAAGACAGUGACAGUGCCAGCUACGUGAAAAUACCUUGUAGGGCUGUAGCAAGGUUCUCCAGAAGAUUGUAAAUCCUUCAGUGUUCACUCUAUAAUCCCAGAGCCAGGAUUCACAGGUCUAGGAAAACAAGUGUGAAAUUAGAGUGGCACACUUACUAUUACCCCUAAUGACUCAUUAGCAAAAAUUUGCUUCUUGUCUUUAAGACCUUAUGCUCUGCUGGCCUAGAUAUCUCUGGAAGGUUCCAGAGAGAGGAAUAAUUUGAGCAGGAGGUAAAUGAUUCCACUGAACUGGAAGUUAAAAUUGCCACAAGACCUCUUUGCAUUCCUCAUGCCUCUGUUUCAAUAGGUAGAAAAGGGAGUUACAGUGUUGACUCAGAUGUAUGACCCUGACUACCAAGGGGAAAUUGAACUAUUAUUCCCCAAUGAGGUAAGAAAUAGUAUCUUAGUUCAGGCUGCUAUACCAGAAUACCAUAGACUGGAUGAAUUAAACAACAAAAAAUUUUGGAAGUCUGUAUGUCUGAGAUCUGUAUGUUUGUGGUCUUGGUGAGGACUCUCUUCCCAAUUAUGUCCUCACUUGGCCUUCCUUGAUGCAUGCAUGCAGAUAGCAAAAACUUAUGUCACUUCUCUGAAACAGGAGGGAAAGUGGGCAGGGCCCAAACUUUAAAGAAUGACACAGCUGUUAAAGAUAUGACAUAGGUGAUUAGAACUAACUAGGUCCAAGAUGGCAGAUGAUUCAACUCCCAGUGGACCUUGAGCCUCAUUAUACACUCCUUGUAAUACAUUAGUGUGCUGAAUGACAUUACCACAGGUGCCAUGGCAGUUCUUAGGCCAACCAUGAAAGCUAAAAGUGGACAGUGACCCAAUUUCUGGAAGUCCCUGCCCCUUUUCUAAAAUGGUUGGAAUAAUCCUCCCACUUGUUAGCCUAUGAAAUUACCCAGACUAUAAAAACUAUCACAUAUUUGUGGGCCACUCUAUAACCUUUUGAGAUAGGCCACAUUCUGUCCAUGGAAUGUGUAUCAUCCAGGCUGCUUUUCCUUCUGAGAUGGCCCACACUCUAUCUAGCUCAAUAAAUGUAUUUCUUACAUAUCACUGCAGGGCCCUGUGGUGUCCUGGGCAUGGAAGUCUUUCUGUGUUACCCAUUUCUUGUUUGUAAGAAUAGGCCUCAUUCAGCCUCCAUGACUUUCCCUGAGUUCCAAAUAUGAGGUUCAAACAGUUGCUAAUCAGGGAAGGGAGGGGAUUUAGAGACAAGGGAGGAGAAGUCAAGAAACAAUAGUGCUACUUGGGGAAAUGUUCUGGCUUCUCUGUAAGGGAUAUACAUAACAAUAUCUUUGAGUUCUUCUGCAGAACUAAAACCUCCAACAAAUAAAAGAUGAUAACUACUUGAAAUUCUUCAUUCCAGAAAAGAGGUAAUGGGUGCAAUAAUCUCAAAGACCAUCAGAACCAGUCCUGGGGCCACUAAACACCGGCUUUGAAGAAAAAUACAAACUUGAAUCUACCCUGAUCCUUAUCGGUGGCCUUAUUUUCUACACCCAAAUCUAUAAAACCACCUUCUAAUAUCUCGCAAGGGAAGACACAUUCUUUAGGGUACUAGCUUGCUGUGGCCUCCUUUCCCUGGCAAAGCAAUAAAGCUAUUUCUUUUUCCUCUGUCUAAAACUCUGCCUCCAUAUUUCUAUUCAGCACAAACAUCACUUGGCCUUUUGCUGAACUCCUUCUUCACUGAGACAAAAAGAACCUGAAACUUCAGUAAAUCCUGAAACCUGGUGUGUAAUUUUAAUUAAAAGGUGGUGGAUUCAAGUCCCAAUCUAAGUCAUGCAGUUUUAACUCCACUCUCAUGACCUAAUCAAAUCCAUUACCUCCCAAAGCUCUACUUCCAAAUAUUAUCACAUUGAGUAUUAGUGUCAUCAGAUAGGUUGGGGGUCCCCAGAGAAAGAGAACUAGGAAUGACUUCUUGACAUGAGAAUCCACUUUUGGCCUAAGCUAUUUCAUAAUAAUGAUCUAAGCCUGGAUGCAAUGCUUGCCCUUGAACAGGUCUCAGUUAUUAAUGACCUUAGGAAAUAAAGGAAUGCAAGUACAGAGAAAAGGCAGUCAGACAGUAAUGUAGACUGCUUAAUGAUGAAGCAGAGUCUGAGUUCCUCCUCAAGGGAUAUUCAUAAUGAUGUAUCUUUGAGUUCUGCAGGAAAUAAGGCCCCUGCCUAGGGGGAGGAUGAAAUGAUAGGGUUGACCCUCUUGACUUCAAUCAACUAAGAAUUGGACUCUGUUUACCUUUCCUCCAAUUCUAUGCUAAAUUCUCCUCUGCUCAGUCCCCUUCAUGAAUAUGCAUUUACCCUUAGUUUAAAAUUUCCCCAGUUUUGCUGUUUGGAGAGAUACUGCUUUGGGAAAGGUUCACAGUGUUCUCUUUAUUCUGCAAGUAAUAAUAAAUUCUUCCUUCUCCUAAGGUUUAGCUUGCUUAUGUCUUUUGGCACCAUAUCCACCUUGAGGCAAACAUAAUUUUGGGGUAAAAUUAGGGUUUAACCUAUGCAUUUUGGGGGAACACAUUCAGCCCAUAGGAACCAGUGUGUCUGGAAUCCUUUAGGGGCAUUUCUCAGUAUUGAAUGUUCUGUGUUUAAGAUUAGUGGAAGAUGUGAAACUGACCAGGGACCUGUGGGGCUCCCGGACACAAGCUUUUCUGUGUCUGCAUUUAUUGCUUUUAGGGAAUAAGCUUCAGCUUCCAUGACCCUCCCUGAGUUCCAAAGGGCAGGUUCAAAAAAUUGCUAAUCAGGGAAGGGAGAGGAUGCAGA